rnacentral:RNase_P_RNA from 1 species
GCCCGGGCCCUGGCACAGAAACGAGACCCAUUCCCUGAAAGUGCGAUGAUGCAAAAAGCUGAGGUCUCAGGGAGAGUGGAUGAAACGGCGAAUCCUCGUGGGUGCAAGAUGGAAAUCGGGAAGAAAGAGCAUUCCGGAAUCUCCCGGUUGUUUUUGGAAACGCGUAGCCGAAUGCCGUCACUGCAAGAGUCCUCAAGGACCAUUUCCUCCACUGAUGGGUGCAGGAGAUCUUUGCAGGAACAGAAGGGAGCUUACUUGCCUCACUC